rnacentral:rRNA from 1 species
CCUGACUGCUAUCGGAUUGAUACUAAGCCAUGCGAGUCAUUGUAGCAAUACAAGGCAUACGGCUCAGUAACGCGUAGUCAACCUAACCUAUGGACGGGAAUAACCUCGGGAAACUGAGAAUAAUGCCCGAUAGAACACUAUACCUGGAAUGGUUUGUGUUCCAAAUGAUUUAUCGCCAUAGGAUGGGACUGCGGCCUAUCAGUUUGUUGGUGAGGUAAUGGCCCACCAAGACUAUUACAGGUACGGGCUCUGAGAGGAGUAGCCCGGAGAUGGGUACUGAGACACGGACCCAGGCCCUAUGGGGCGCAGCAGGCGAGAAAACUUUGCAAUGUGCGAAAGCACGACAAGGUCAAUCCGAGUGAUUUGUGCUAAACGAAUCUUUUGUUAGUCCUAGAAACACUAACGAAUAAGGGGUGGGCAAGUUCUGGUGUCAGCCGCCGCGGUAAAACCAGCACCUCAAGUGGUCAGGAUGAUUAUUGGGCCUAAAGCAUCCGUAGCCGGCUCUGUAAGUUUUCGGUUAAAUCUGUACGCUUAACGUACAGGCUGCCGGGAAUACUGCAGAGCUAGGGAGUGGGAGAGGUAGACGGUACUCGGUAGGAAGUGGUAGAAUGCUUUGAUCUAUCGAUGACCACCUGUGGCGAAGGCGGUCUACCAGAACACGUCCGACGGUGAGGGAUGAAAGCUGGGGGAGCAAACCGGAUUAGAUACCCGGGUAGUCCCAGCUGUAAACUAUGCAAACUCAGUGAUGCAUUGGCUUGUGGCCAAUGCAGUGCUGCAGGGAAGCCGUUAAGUUUGCCGCCUGGGAAGUACGUACGCAAGUAUGAAACUUAAAGGAAUUGGCGGGGGAGCACCACAAGGGGUGAAGCCUGCGGUUC